AGUGAACGCUGGCGGUAGGCCUAACACAUGCAAGUCGAACGGCAGCACAGUAAGAGCUUGCUCUUACGGGUGGCGAGUGGCGGACGGGUGAGGAAUACAUCGGAAUCUACUUUUUCGUGGGGGAUAACGUAGGGAAACUUACGCUAAUACCGCAUACGACCUACGGGUGAAAGCAGGGGAUCUUCGGGCCUUGCGCGAUUGAAUGAGCCGAUGUCGGAUUAGCUAGUUGGCGGGGUAAAGGCCCACCAAGGCGACGAUCCGUAGCUGGUCUGAGAGGAUGAUCAGCCACACUGGAACUGAGACACGGUCCAGACUCCUACGGGAGGCAGCAGUGGGGAAUAUUGGACAAUGGGCGCAAGCCUGAUCCAGCCAUACCGCGUGGGUGAAGAAGGCCUUCGGGUUGUAAAGCCCUUUUGUUGGGAAAGAAAAGCAGCAGGUUAAGACCCCGCUGUUCUGACGGUACCCAAAGAAUAAGCACCGGCGAACUUCGG
rnacentral:rRNA from 1 species